UAAGCCUGUGAAGGUGUGUCGUGAGGCAUGCUGGAGGUAUCAGAAGUGCGAAUGCUGACAUAAGUAACGAUAAAGCGGGUGAAAAGCCCGCUCGCCGGAAGACCAAGGGUUCCUGUCCAACGUUAAUCGGGGCAGGGUGAGUCGACCCCUAAGGCGAGGCCGAAAGGCGUAGUCGAUGGGAAACGGGUUAAUAUUCCCGUACUUGGUGUUACUGCGAAGGGGGGACGGAGAAGGCUAUGUUGGCCGGGCGACGGUUGUCCCGGUUUAAGCGUGUAGGUGUGUGUUCCAGGUAAAUCCGGUUCACUUUAACACUGAGGCGUGAUGACGAGGCACUACGGUGCUGAAGCAACAAAUGCCCUGCUUCCAGGAAAAGCCUCUAAGCAUCAGGUAACAUCAAAUCGUACCCCAAACCGACACAGGUGGUCAGGUAGAGAAUACCAAGGCGCUUGAGAGAACUCGGGUGAAGGAACUAGGCAAAAUGGUGCCGUAACUUCGGGAGAAGGCACGCUGACACGUAGGUGAAGUGAUUUACUCAUGGAGCUGAAGUCAGUCGAAGAUACCAGCUGGCUGCAACUGUUUAUUAAAAACACAGCACUGUGCAAACACGAAAGUGGACGUAUACGGUGUGACGCCUGCCCGGUGCCGGAAGGUUAAUUGAUGGGGUCAGCGCAAGCGAAGCUCCUGAUCGAAGCCCCGGUAAACGGCGGCCGUAACUAUAACGGUCCUAAGGUAGCGAAAUUCCUUGUCGGGUAAGUUCCGACCUGCACGAAUGGCGUAAUGAUGGCCAGGCUGUCUCCACCCGAGACUCAGUGAAAUUGAACUCGCUGUGAAGAUGCAGUGUACCCGCGGCAAGACGGAAAGACCCCGUGAACCUUUACUAUAGCUUGACACUGAACAUUGAGCCUUGAUGUGUAGGAUAGGUGGGAGGCUUUGAAGCGUGGACGCCAGUCUGCGUGGAGCCGACCUUGAAAUACCACCCUUUAAUGUUUGAUGUUCUAACGUGGACCCGUAAUCCGGGUUGCGGACAGUGUCUGGUGGGUAGUUUGACUGGGGCGGUCUCCUCCUAAAGAGUAACGGAGGAGCACGAAGGUUGGCUAAUCCUGGUCGGACAUCAGGAGGUUAGUGCAAUGGCAUAAGCCAGCUUGACUGCGAGCGUGACGGCGCGAGCAGGUGCGAAAGCAGGUCAUAGUGAUCCGGUGGUUCUGAAUGGAAGGGCCAUCGCUCAACGGAUAAAAGGUACUCCGGGGAUAACAGGCUGAUACCGCCCAAGAGUUCAUAUCGACGGCGGUGUUUGGCACCUCGAUGUCGGCUCAUCACAUCCUGGGGCUGAAGUAGGUCCCAAGGGUAUGGCUGUUCGCCAUUUAAAGUGGUACGCGAGCUGGGUUUAGAACGUCGUGAGACAGUUCGGUCCCUAUCUGCCGUGGGCGCUGGAGAACUGAGGGGGGCUGCUCCUAGUACGAGAGGACCGGAGUGGACGCAUCACUGGUGUUCGGGUUGUCAUGCCAAUGGCACUGCCCGGUAGCUAAAUGCGGAAGAGAUAAGUGCUGAAAGCAUCUAAGCACGAAACUUGCCCCGA
rnacentral:rRNA from 1 species